CCUACGGGUGGCUGCAGUCGAGAAUCAUUCACAAUGGGGGAAACCCUGAUGGUGCGACGCCGCGUGGGGGAAUGAAGGUCUUCGGAUUGUAAACCCCUGUCAUGUGGGAGCAAAUUAAAAAGAUAGUACCACAAGAGGAAGAGACGGCUAACUCUGUGCCAGCAGCCGCGGUAAUACAGAGGUCUCAAGCGUUGUUCGGAAUCCCUGGGCGUAAGGCGUGCGUAGGCUGUUUCGUAAGUCGUGUGUGAAAGGCGCGGGCUCAACCCGCGGACGGCACAUGAUACUGCGAGACUAGAGUAAUGGAGGGGGAACCGGAAUUCUCGGUGUAGCAGUGAAAUGCGUAGAUAUCGAGAGGAACACUCGUGGCGAAGGCGGGUUCCUGGACAUUAACUGACGCUGAGGCACGAAGGCCAGGGGAGCGAAAGGGAUUAGAUACCCCAGUAGUC
rnacentral:rRNA from 1 species